UACGUAGGAUCCAAGCGUUAUCCGGAAUUAUUGGGCGUCAAGGGUGCGUAGGCGGUUUGGUAAGUCUUAUGUGAAAUCUACAGGCUCAACUUGUAGUCUGCAUGAGAAACUGCCGGGCUUGAGUAUGGGAGAGGUGAGUGGAAUUCCUGGUGUAGCGGUGAAAUGCGUAGAGAUCCGGAAGAACACCGGUGGCGAAGGCGGUCUGCUGGGCCAAGACUGACGCUGAGGCGCGACAUCGUGGGGAGCAAACAGG
rnacentral:rRNA from 1 species